UUACCCAAUCCUGACACAGGGAGGUAGUGACAAUAAAUAACAGUGCCGGGCCUUUCUAGGUCUGGCAAUUGGAAUGAGAAACAUUUAAAUCUCUUAUCGAGUAUCAACUGAAGGGCAAGUCUGGUGCCAGCAGCCGCGGUAAUUCCAGCUUCAGUAGCGUAUAUUAAAGUUGUUGCAGUUAAAAAGCUCGUAGUCGCAUUUCUGGCGAGAGGAUCCGGUCCGACCUUUUGGUGGGUUCUUGGGUCUCUUUCGCCAUCCUUGAGUGGUCCGUUCUGGCAUUAGGUUGUCGGAGCGUCAGCCGCUCAUCGUUUACUGUGAGAAAAUUAGAGUGUUCAAAGCAGGCUUAUGCCGUUGAAUAUAUUAGCAUGGAAUAAUAAGAUAGGACCUCGGUACUAUUUUGUUGGUCUGCGCACCAAGGUAAUGAUGAACAGGGACAGUUGGGGGUAUUUGUAUUUCGUUGUCAGAGGUGAAAUUCUUAGAUUUACGAAAGACAAACUACUGCGAAAGCAUUUACCAAGGAUGUUUUCAUUGAUCAAGAACGAAAGUAUGGGGAUCGAAGAUGAUUAGAUACCAUCGUAGUCUAUACCAUAAACUAUGCCGACUCAGGAUGGGCGGGUGUUAUUUUGACCUCGUCUGCACUGUAUGAGAAAUCAAAGUCUUUGGGUUCCGGGGGGAGUAUGGUCGCAAGGCUGAAACUUAAAGAAAUUGACGG
rnacentral:rRNA from 1 species